UGCGCGCCUACACAUGCAAGUCGAGCGGUAGAGAGAAGCUUGCUUCUCUUGAGAGCGGCGGACGGGUGAGUAAUGCCUAGGAAUCUGCCUGGUAGUGGGGGAUAACGUUCGGAAACGGACGCUAAUACCGCAUACGUCCUACGGGAGAAAGCAGGGGACCUUCGGGCCUUGCGCUAUCAGAUGAGCCUAGGUCGGAUUAGCUAGUUGGUGGGGUAAUGGCUCACCAAGGCGACGAUCCGUAACUGGUCUGAGAGGAUGAUCAGUCACACUGGAACUGAGACACGGUCCAGACUCCUACGGGAGGCAGCAGUGGGGAAUAUUGGACAAUGGGCGAAAGCCUGAUCCAGCCAUGCCGCGUGUGUGAAGAAGGUCUUCGGAUUGUAAAGCACUUUAAGUUGGGAGGAAGGGCCAUUACCUAAUACGUGAUGGUUUUGACGUUACCGACAGAAUAAGCACCGGCUAACUCUGUGCCAGCAGCCGCGGUAAUACAGAGGGUGCAAGCGUUAAUCGGAAUUACUGGGCGUAAAGCGCGCGUAGGUGGUUUGUUAAGUUGGAUGUGAAAUCCCCGGGCUCAACCUGGGAACUGCAUUCAAAACUGACUGACUAGAGUAUGGUAGAGGGUGGUGGAAUUUCCUGUGUAGCGG
rnacentral:rRNA from 1 species